rnacentral:snRNA from 1 species
AUUCUUACCUGGCAGGGGAGACACCUUGAUCAUGAAGGAGGUUUUCCCAGGGUGAGGCUCAUCCAUUGCACAAUACAGAUGUACUAAGUAUUCUUCACCCACAGAGAUCUAAAUUUCUGAUGUGGCUGAGGUGUGUUUGGCAUAAAACCACAUUGGAUGAGUGACCUUAUGC